rnacentral:rRNA from 1 species
GGGAAUCUUCCACAAUGGGCGCAAGCCUGAUGGAGCAACACCGCGUGAGUGAAGAAGGGUUUCGGCUCGUAAAGCUCUGUUGUUGGAGAAGAACGUGCGUGAGAGUAACUGUUCACGCAGUGACGGUAUCCAACCAGAAAGUCACGGCUAACUACGUGCCAGCAGCCGCGGUAAUACGUAGGUGGCAAGCGUUAUCCGGAUUUAUUGGGCGUAAAGCGAGCGCAGGCGGUUACUUAGGUCUGAUGUGAAAGCCUUCGGCUUAACCGAAGAAGUGCAUCGGAAACCGGGCGACUUGAGUGCAGAAGAGGACAGUGGAACUCCAUGUGUAGCGGUGGAAUGCGUAGAUAUAUGGAGGAACACCAGUGGCGAAGGCGGCCUGCUGGACUGUAACUGACGUUGAGUCUCGAAGGCGUGGGGAGCAAACAGG